CUGAUGUGUCAAUUCCACAGUUACACCGCAUGGAAUUAUGGGAUUGCUUUCAGAUGUCUAUCACUGUGGCACACUGGAAGUUACGAGGUGAUGAUUGGUGUGUGUUAUGUUGUGACUGCAGUGGAGACACGUGGCUCUGUCCCUCACUGCUGUCCUGCAGCUCAGCUCCAUGUCUGAUGUCCUCCAUGAGGUUUCGCUGCACUGAGCUACACAACAGACCACAAGCUCUUGUAAAGUUUAGAUUCUUCAUUCUGGGAGCUUUCUUCAAAGAUAUGCGGUUAGGUCAACAUGGGGCAACCUUGGGCUGAAGUGCCCCGAGUGAGGCACCCUGGGUGCUGGAGCAUAGCUGCCCACUCUCUCUCGCUCUGUGUGUGUGUGUGUGUGUGUGUGUGUUCAUUGCUCACUUGUGUGUGGUAGGUGUGUGUGUUCACUGCUUCAGAUGGGUUAAAUGCAGAGAAGAAAUGUCACUGUGCUUGAGUGUACAUGUGACAAAUAAAGGCUUCUUCUUCUA